UGGGUAGGGGAGCUUCCCAUACGGGUUGAAGCAUGACCGUAAGGAGAGGUGGACAGUAUGGGGGUGAGGAUGUUGACAUGAGUAGCAAGAUGUGGGUGAGAGUCCGGCAGGCCGUAAACCCAAGGUUGCCAGGGGAAGGUUCGUCCGCCCUGGGUUAGUCGGGACCUAAGCUGAGGCCGAAAGGCGUAGGUGAUGGACAACAGGUUGAUAUUCCUGUACUACC
rnacentral:rRNA from 1 species